CUAUUGAAAAAGUCCUUAUUGCAAACAAUACAUCGCUUAUCCAAGAUGAAGUCCUUUCUCACAGGUUGGGCCUCAUUCCGAUCAAUGCUGACCCUAGGCUGUUUGAGUAUCUUUCAGCAAAUGAUACACCAAAUGAAAAGAACACCAUUGUCUUCAAACUUCAUGUUCGUUGCAAGCAAGGUGAACCUCGUCGAACGGUAUAUUCUGAAGAAUUGAAGUGGUUAGCAAAUGGGAGUGAGUUUAUCAAGGAAUCAGAAAAGGUUGAUUCAAAGCCUAGCACCUAUACUUCAUUUAGUUGCAGUCAAGAUUCCCUACAGAACUUCUUGAGCAAUCCAAUCAGCCCAACGGAAGACAAGAUUAUACUUGCUAAACUUGGCACUGGGCAGGAAAUUGAACUUGAAGCUCAUGCUGUUAAAGGCAUGGGUAAAACACAUGCAAAAUGGUCUCCUGUUGCCACUGCUUGGUAUCGGAUGCUUCCUGAGGUUGUAUUAUUAGAAGAUGUUCAAGAUGAGACAGCUGAAGAGCUUAAGAAGAAAUGCCCUGUUAAUGUAUUUGAUAUUGAAGACAUUGGAAAUGGGAAGAAGAGGGCAACCGUUGCUCGGCCACGAGCUUGCACACUGUGUAGGGAGUGCAUUAGAGGGGGAGAAGAAUGGGAGAAACGUGUGGCACUGCAUCGUGUUAAAGAUCAUUUCAUAUUUACUAUUGAAUCAACUGGAGCUUUGCCUCCUGAAGUGCUAUUUACUGAGGCUGUGAAGAUUUUGGAAGAUAAGUGUGAACGUGUAAUUACUGAGCUUUCUUGAAUCUUCUUUGUACCCCUCCUUUCUUUAUUUGAUAUGAAAAGAAUGUAUUGAAGGACUGUACUGAAACUAGUGCAUCUUAUGUUGCUUCCAGAGAAAUAUCAAUUUUUGUGCAUCUCUUGGUUCGAGAUUUUGCCCUGUUCUUUAUAAAAUCCUAGUUUCGCCAAAAGAUGCACAAAAAUUG
rnacentral:misc_RNA from 1 species